GAAUCCCCAUGAACAGAGAGGAGCCUGGCAGGCUAGAAUCCAUGGAGACUGGCAGGCUACAGCCCAUGGGACUGCAAAGAGUUGGACAUGACUGAACACUAAGCACAGCACAGCACCACCUCCCUAUGAAGAUUUCUUUCUGUUCACUGUUUUAACAUGUGAACACCACCUCCAAUCCUGUCAUUUCCAAGCCACGGAGAUCUGCCUUGCCUUCCGAAGAGUUCAACAUGUGUUAGAUGAAUGCUAAAAUAACCGGAAAAUAUUUAAAAGCUUUCUGUGUAUAGUAUAUGUACAUGGAGCAUGUAUGUGUGUGUGUGUGGGGGGGGGGCUGCUUCAAUUCUCUCUGCCAUUUAAGUCAUUGUAACCUUUGAAUGAUGGCUAGAAGUAUGACAGAGAACACUUGCUGGGAGUAAGAGCUGAAUUACAUUACUUUGUGGGUAGAGUUACAAGGCACAGGACAAUUAUUAGAAAUCACUGCAAGGUGUAAUUUUUAUGUGUGUACACAUAAGCAUACAUUGUUUAGCACUGCAGCUAGUUGGCAUUUACCUUUGUUCCAUCUGUAUGUGUAUUUUACUCUGCAGGAAACCUGGAGGACAAAACAUUACCACUAAUUUGUUAACAUUAUUGUGAUUCAUGCUGCAAUACAUAGAGUGAGAGCAAGCUUCAUUGUUGAAGAAAAUUCAUCAUUUGUACAACAGGUGUUUUAGUAACAAGAGGUGCUCAAGUUUAAAUGCCCAGAGCCAUAAGCUGAAGAAAUUUCUUUAGACAAUAAGAGUAGGCUGCUGCUUAAACCACACGCCCAAGUGCAAUGCUCAGACAGUGAAUCAAGAACAAAGAAAGGAAAAGACGGACAAUGGACUAUCAUCUGAGAUGGUUGGAAAUAACCAGAUUUAAGCAAAUAGUGCCAAUUUUGAAGACUUGUCCCUGGACAACUGUCAAAAACUUGUAUAUAAGAUAAUUUUUGCCAUCAAGUCUAAACAUUAUAGUGUAUAAACAUUGACUAUUUUCUAGGAAUAAGGAUGUAUGAGAUACAUAUUAUGUAGAGAGUUCAGAAUAUUAUUGGGUAUUGCCUAUCACCUCCAGUCAAGCACAAUCCUUUAUAUUUUUUAUAAUGAAUCCACUGUCUUAUUCGGUGUAAUGACAUUACUCCUUUCCCAUGACUAAUGUAGGAAGUCACAAGUUAUUUUUGCUUCUUCUUCUUCUCUAAUUUCUCACAUCUCAUCACUCACCAAGAACUUUUGUUUGUAUAGACAUUUUAACUUCUAAAUCAUUUUUUUGACAACUUCUAUCCUGUUUUGGUCUCAAAACUUUUCCGUCAUAUAAGAGAUCAGUAUUGGUAUUGUUAAAUAUUUAAUUGCUCAUAAAUAAAAAUAAGACUCUAAAAUG